UACGGAGGGUGCAAGCGUUAUCCGGAUUCACUGGGGUUAAAGGGUGCGUAGGUGGGCAGGUAAGUCAGUGGUGAAAUCUCCGGGCUUAACCCGGAAACUGCCGUUGAUACUAUCUGUCUUGAAUGUAGUGGAGGUGAGCGGAAUAUGUCAUGUAGCGGUGAAAUGCAUAGAUAUGACAUAGAACACCAAUUGCGAAGGCAGCUCACUAAGCAGGUAUUGACGCUGAGGCACGAAAGCGUGGGGAUCAAACAGG
rnacentral:rRNA from 1 species